UGGCUCAGUUGGUAGAGCAUAGUGUUUGCAACGCCAGGGUUGUGGGUUCAAUUCCCAC
rnacentral:tRNA from 1 species